AAUCAUGCAAAAAUAAUUUCGAUCAGAUUCCACUUUCUCGUUUCCGACAUUUGUUCGGUCGUUCCUGGUAGUUGCGUUCCCAGGCCAGACCCCCGGGUUGAAUCCCAUGGACCCGGCGCUGACCCUCGGAUUCCGGGCGCCGGAGCUGUCCCUGUUUCGCCGGAGAAGCGACGCUCCCUUCGGCGACCCUCGGCGAGCUCCUUCCCCACGGGCGGCGCGGGCGAAACCGAGCCUGAGCUCCUCCGCAUCGCCGCCGUCGCCCGGGACUCGCUUGACCGUCGCGGCCAAGAAGAGGCCGCCGAUCGAUGGGCUCAGCGACGAGAUGAACGCGAUCGCGUCGCAGAGGCUGGACUUCGCGCCUGCUCGGAGAAGGGUGCGAGCUGCGUUCACCGAGGUCCAGCGACAGCUCGAUCAUUGCUUGUUCAAGCUGGCUCCUGCUGGGAUCAGAACAGACGAGUGGUAUGAGACAAACUCAAACGGUCUCCAAAUUUUCUGUAAGAGCUGGUUGCCUAAAGCGGGUGUUCAAAUUAAGGGCGCAGUGUGUUUUUGCCACGGCUAUGGUGAUACUUGCACUUUCUUCUUUGAAGGUAUCGCCAGGCGCUUUGCUUCACAAGGAUAUGCUGUUUAUGCUUUGGACCACCCAGGUUUCGGCCUUUCAGAUGGAUUGCAUGGUUACAUCUCAAGCUUCGAUGAAUUAGUCGACAACGUCAUUGAACAAUACACGAAAAUCAAAGAGAGACCUGAAGUGAGAGGAUUGCCUCGCUUUAUAUUGGGACAGUCCAUGGGUGGAGCUGUUACUCUCAAGGUUCAUCUAAAGCAGCCUGAUGAAUGGGAUGGAGUCAUCCUUGUUGCACCGAUGUGUAAAAUUUCAGAUGCUGUUAGACCACCCGAAGCAGUUGUAAAAAUGUUGACCCUCAUGUCUAGCAUUCUGCCAAAAGCAAAGCUCUUCCCGCAGAAGGAUCUUGCUGAGCUGGCUUUCAGAGACUUGAAGAAAAGGAAAAUGGCUGUCUACAAUGUGAUUUGCUACAAUGACCAAAUGCGACUGCAGACUGCCUCAGAACUUCUUAGGGCAACUAAUGAUAUUGAGGCACGAGUAGAGAAGGUUUCAUCUCCAUUGCUGAUUCUUCAUGGAGCGGGUGAUAAGGUGACAGAUCCUUCAGUGAGUAAGUUUCUCUACGAAAAGGCCUCUAGCAAGGAUAAAACCUUAAAGCUUUAUGAAGGAGGGUAUCACUGCAUUCUUGAAGGCGAAUCUGAUGAAAAGAUAUUUAUGGCCCUCGAUGAUAUUGUUUUGUGGCUGGAUUCUCGGUGUUCCCCCAAGUAGAAAACCAUUCUUUUGGUGUUGAAAGCAAGUUCAUUUGAGAUAAUCAUAGUUAAGUUGCACAUUGGGCACUUCAAACAACAUUCACUGACACGGUUAAAGAACGGGGUCCCGUUCCUGAUGAUGUUGCUGUUCAGUGCCCUGGCCUAGUCGUCAUUGUGGACUCAUCUGCUUAAUUGGGAAAACUGGAAUUGAGGCAAAUGUGCGUUUGUAGCUUUGUUCAUUUGGUUAUUCAGACACCUGCUUAAAGGGCGACGCAAACUGGUGAGCUAGUCUUGCUGUGAUAAUGGUACUGGUACUUUCAUCAACAUCGCCUCGGUUGUUUUGUUUCCUGUGUUACGGUUUUCACACUCUGUAUUCAUUUCAGGCAUGAGGGCUUGAUCUGCCAGCUGAACUCAAGAGGAUGAAGUGAAACCAUUGAUUUGAAUGCGUGUGUUGUGGUUGCUCACUUGACAUUAUCAUCCUACACAAUGCAGCAUGCUUUGGAUAUAGGAAAGUGGCCAAUAUAAACUGUAUUCCGGUCUCGUGUUCGGUAAUCUGGCAAAUUAGGAUGCCCCGGAUCCGGCGCGUCUCAUCAAGAAGUGUAAUGUUAAAGUUUAAAAACUGCUGGUGCAUGAAUUGUAUAUCCUAGGGGAAUUGGUUUGCGGUCGACGGCAUAACAAAUCAAUAGGACCUUUUAGUUGUACAACUCGAUGGUCUAGUUCAAGGUUUCAUCCUUCUUGGUUCAAGCGCUUUGUUUCGACCAUUAAAUAGGACUGUCCGUUUGUCUCCCGGUACUAUUAAUCUCUAUACCAAGGCUUCGGUCUGAAAAAAGUUUCAUGAUCCUUAGGAUCUACUUAAGUAGCAAAUGGAAAGCAUACUUGCUAAACUAGCUCAAUUUGUCGUUUCAAAUUAUAGUUCUAACAUUCAAAUAUAUAUUAGUUUUCUUGUCUUUUAUGGUAA